CUGCUUGCCCGUUUCCCCAGACCGCACGGUCGCGGGGGCCCCGCGCGUGCCGCGCCCCUAACUCCGCCCUCCGUGGACCAAAACCGGCCUCGCCGCUGUUGGGUGUCUUGCCCCCCCCCCUUGGCCGCCGUGGCUCGGGGGGGGGCCGUCCCCGGGCGAAGUGCUCUCGGUCCUCCGAGGAAGGGGAGGAGGGAGGCGCGCGGGGGGUGUUGGGGCUGGGCGUCGUUGCGCGUGUGCGGGAGAGCGUUCUCGGGAGAACCGGUCGCGUGAACGGUGGCGGUUGGGGCCCCCGAGCCCCGCGAGGUUGCUUGGGGCCCGCCGUGGGGGCCGGGCCGGCGUCCUCGGGUGCCGCGGGACCGCCCUUGCGCUGGAGGCCUCGGGCGGUGGGACCCCGCGUGCGCCCCUGGGCGCCCGACCUCGGCCUCCCAGGUGCCUUCUGAGGCUUCCCGAAAGCCCCUCGCGGUGGCCCGCGGUCCUCUCCUCCACCGCUCCCGCUCGCCGUUCUCCGGCGCCUGGCUGGCCCCUGGCCGCCGGGGCGUCUCCCGUCCGCGGCCUUUCCCGAAAGCCCGCCCCCGUCCGUCGUCCGUCUUGCCGACCCGGUGCCGCGCUCCCCGGGGCGCCCGGCGCUUCCCGGGCCCGCUGCGGCCUUCCCGCCCGCGCCCGCCGCUCGCCCCCGCCCCCCCGGCGGUGGCGUUGUGUGGUGACGAGGGGCCGCCGUCGUCUCCCGCCGCCCCCCACCCCCGCCGGCCGCGUCCCCGCCCUGGCGCGCGCGUGCCCCGGGCGUGGGUCGGGUCCCCGGCGUCCGCUCGCCGUUGGCCGUCCGCGGCCCCGCGCGCGUCUCCCCGGUGGCGGGGAGGGGUUCGGGCUCUGGCCCGGCGCCCCGCCUCCGUCCCGCGUGAGCGCGUGCUCGGCCCGCUGCCGGCCCCGGCGCGACCGCCGGGCGUCCCCGUCCCCCGCCCGCGGGCCGCCGCCGCCGCCGCCGCCAUCGGGGCCGUCCGGAGGGGGAGAGGGUGGCGGGUGAAGCGCCCUCGUCUCCCCGCGCCGCCGCCGCCGAGGUGUGCGCGCCCCGGUCCGUGGGGCGGGACCGGCCGCUCGGCCGGUCGGUCGGUUAGCGCGGCUCGCCGCCGCCACCGCCUCUGCCGCGUGCGCUCCCCCGCGCCCGGCACGUCCGGCCCACCCGCCGCGAGCCGCGCGGCGCUCGCUCGCUCGCUCCCUCCCUCCCUCCCUUCUCCCUCCCUGCCUCCCGGUGGGGGGUGGGGUUGGGGCGGGCGGGGAGGCGCGCGCGCGCGCGCGCCCGCGCGGUCUCUGGCUCACCCGCGCUCCUACCUGGUUGAUCCUGCCAGUAGCAUAUGCUUGUCUCAAAGAUUAAGCCAUGCAUGUCUAAGUACGCACGGCCGGUACAGUGAAACUGCGAAUGGCUCAUUAAAUCAGUUAUGGUUCCUUUGGUCGCUCGCUCCUCUCCUACUUGGAUAACCUCGGGCCGAUCGCACGCCCCCCGUGGCGGCGACGACCCAUUCGAACGUCUGCCCUAUCAACUUUCGAUGGUAGUCGCCGUGCCUACCAUGGUGACCACGGGUGACGGGGAAUCAGGGUUCGAUUCCGGAGAGGGAGCCUGAGAAACGGCUACCACAUCCAAGGAAGGCAGCAGGCGCGCAAAUUACCCACUCCCGACCCGGGGAGGUAGUGACGAAAAAUAACAAUACAGGACUCUUUCGAGGCCCUGUAAUUGGAAUGAGUCCACUUUAAAUCCUUUAACGAGGAUCCAUUGGAGGGCAAGUCUGGUGCCAGCAGCCGCGGUAAUUCCAGCUCCAAUAGCGUAUAUUAAAGUUGCUGCAGUUAAAAAGCUCGUAGUUGGAUCUUGGGAGCGGGGGGGGGGAGCGUCGGCCCGCGCGGGGGCGCCCGCCGCCCGGCGCGCGCCUCCCGCCGCCCGCCCUGGACGGUCCUCCGGUCAGGCGGGCGUCCGCGCCAUCUCCGCCCUCCCGCUCGUCGCCUCUCCCUCUCCCACCCCGGCCCACCCCCCGCCUCUGGGGCCUCGGGGCCCGGGUCCGGCUCUCCCCUUUUCGGUCGCCGCCCCCGCCGCCCCCCUCCCCUGGCCCUGCCCGCUCACGCCCCGCUUCCCGCUGCGGGCCCCCCCCCCGCCCUCCGUGGCGAGGCGGGGCC
rnacentral:lncRNA from 12 species